rnacentral:rRNA from 1 species
GAUGAACGCUGGCGGCGUGCCUAAUACAUGCAAGUCGAGCGAAUGGAUUAAGAGCUUGCUCUUAUGAAGUUAGCGGCGGACGGGCGAGUAACACGUGGGUAACCUGCCCAUAAGACUGGGAUAACUCCGGGAAACCGGGGCUCAUACCGGAUAACAUUUUGAACCGCAUGGUUCGAAAUUGAAAGGCGGCUUCGGCUGUCACUUAUGGAUGGACCCGCGUCGCAUUGGCUAGUUGGGGAGGUAACGGCUCACCAAGGCAACGAUGCGUGGCCGACCUGAGAGGGUGAUCGGCCACACUGGGACUGAGACACGGCCCAGACUCCUACGGGAGGCAGCAGUAGGGAAUCUUCCGCAAUGGACGAAAGUCUGACGGAGCAACGCCGCGUGAGUGAUGAAGGCUUUCGGGUCGUAAAACUCUGUUGUUAGGGAAGAACAAGUGCUAGUUGAAUAAGCUGGCACCUUGACGGUACCUAACCAGAAAGCCACGGCUAACUACGUGCCAGCCGCCGCAGUAA